rfam:Nelumbo nucifera unplaced genomic scaffold scaffold00042, whole genome shotgun sequence
AUACCUUUCUCGGCCUUUUGGCUAAGAUCAAGUGUAGUAUCUGUUCUUAUCAGUUUAAUAUCUGAUACGUGGGCCAUCGGUCCACAUGAUAUUAAAUUAAUUUUUCUUGGGGGAAGGCCCACCACAGUAGCUUGCUGCUGGGGCCUUCAUGCGUCGCCCAUGCGUUUCACUACUGCACGGGCCUUGCGCUCCCCUA